rnacentral:tRNA from 1 species
UGAAGUGUUGCUCAAUGCUAUAGCACUUGUCUAGCACGCACAAGGCCCUGGGUUCCAUCCCCAGCACUGCAA